rnacentral:rRNA from 1 species
AACCCUUGCCAUUAGUUGCUACAAAGGGCACUCUAAUGGGACUGCCGGUGACAAACCGGAGGAAGGUGGGGAUGACGUCAAGUCCUCAUGGCCCUUAUAGGUGGGGCUACACACGUCAUACAAUGGCUGGUACAGAGGGUUGCCAACCCGCGAGGGGGAGCUAAUCCCAUAAAGCCAGUCGUAGUCCGGAUCGCAGUCUGCAACUCGACUGCGUGAAGUCGGAAUCGCUAGUAAUCGCGGAUCAGAAUGUCGCGGUGAAUACGUUCCCGGGUCCUU